AGUCAACCCUGCAACACAUGAAAGCAAGAUCAUUUCUACAGUCACUUCCUCUAAUAAAUUUUAAAUAUUUAAUGCUAAGAAAAGAUCUAUUCCCUCCUAUCUUCUCUUCUGUGUAUGUAUUUUAAUUCAAGAAACAAACAAAAAAAAAAGCAAAUUACUACUGGACCAUUGGAGGAUAAGCAACAGAAUUAACUCUUGAAGGACGACCAAGGGCAGACUGAACUGGGUUACUGUGAUCUUAUGAUGUCAAAGCAGACCUAGCUAAAUACCUGGCACUUGGUUAUAUAUUGUUGACAAAGUCUGUGAUCUGAUGUUUACACCUAGUAUCUUCUAUUCCACUUGGUGUCCUAAGAAAUAUGAGACAUUAAAUAUUCCCCUUCUUGUGCAAGUCAAAAAAAAAAAAAAAUCUGUGCCUAAAGAGUUUAGUCCUCCCACUCUACUGAAACCAGGCAUUGGGGCAAUGUCCAGUUUAACACACAGUGUUUGAUGAAAAUCAAAGCAAUUGGAGAGAGUACAGAAGAGAGUAACAGAGAGGAUCGAAGAUCCAGAAAACAUGACCUGAGAAAGGCUGUAGGAAUGGUACAUUUAAUUGAGGGAAAAGAAAACCUGAGAGGAAACAUGAUGACAGUUUCCAAAAGGAAACCUCUUAUAAAAAUAUACGAGGUUUUCAGGAAGAGGAAGUACUGUCCUGUUCUCCUUUCCCACCAGAGACAGGAAAAAAAAAAAGUGCUGAGCUUAAACUGAAGCAGGGGCUACUGGGGAAAACUUCCCAGCUGUAGGGACAGUAAAGCCUUGAUCAUUCUGCCUUGGGGAGCCUUGGAAUCUCUAUCGUCUCAGGUUCUUAAGAUCAGGCUACAGAACAGUCUGCUGGGGUGGGCCUAAGGCCAAGAGGUGAUAAGGACGGCAACUGGCCCAGGAUGUGAUCAGGAAGUUUCUCUGGGUCAAAUCCACAGCUAUAACAUGAUCCUUGACUGUAAGACUUUGGGUUAAAGCCAGCAGACAAAAUGUGGUGCAAAAGGAGAGAGUCACCUCCACUUCCAGGAUGAACUCAGCACCAAAAAUGGUUUAUGACAAAAAAGAAAACCAUGGGGUUUUUAUGUUUCCUCGGUGGUUUCAACAGUUUUGGAAGACACGAAGUGGAGAGACAAAUGAUUCUGUGUUUUUUCUUUUACUGAUAUGGAUUAAAAAUAAACUGUCUUUUU